GUGGGGAAUAUUGGACAAUGGGCCACAAGCCUGAUCCAGCAAUUCUGUGUGCACGAUGAAGGUCUUCGGAUUGUAAAGUGCUUUCAGUAGGGAAGAAUAAAUGACGGUACCUACAGAAGAAGCGACGGCUAAAUAUGUGCCAGCAGCCGCGGUAAUACAUAUGUCGCAAGCGUUAUCCGGAUUUAUUGGGCGUAAAGCGCGUCUAGGCGGUUUACUAAGUCUGAUGUGAAAAUGCGGGGCUCAACUCCGUAUUGCGUUGGAAACUGGUAGACUAGAGUACUGGAGAGGUGGGCGGAACUACAAGUGUAGAGGUGGAAUUCGUAGAUAUUUGUAGGAAUGCCGAUGGAGAAGUCAGCUCACUGGACAGAUACUGACGCUAAAGCGCGAAAGCGUGGGGAGCAAACAGGAUUAGAAACCCCUGUAGUCC
rnacentral:rRNA from 1 species